rnacentral:rRNA from 1 species
CGGAGGAAAAGAAACCAACAGGGAUUGCCUUAGUAGCGGCGAGUGAAGCGGCAAAAGCUCAAAUUUGGAAUCUGCCAGCAAUGGCCGAGUUGUAAUUUGUAGAUGGUAACUCUGUAAGGAGUCUUUGCUCAAGUUUCCUGGAAUGGAAUAUCAUGGAGGGUGACAAUCCCGUGAGGCAUUGACGUACUUGCGUGUAGAGUGCUAUCAAAGAGUCGAGUUGUUUGGGAAUGCAGCUCAAAGUGGGUGGUAGACACCAUCUAAAGCUAAAUAUUGGCGAGAGACCGAUAGCGAACAAGUACUGUGAAGGAAAGAUGAAAAGCACUUUGAAAAGAGAGUGAAAAAGUACGUGAAAUUGUUAAUAUGGAAGGGUAUAAGAUUAGACAUGAAGCUUUGAGUUCGGCAGUCUCUCGGGAUUGUUUUGUCUCUUAGUUUCGCACCAGCAUCAGUUUUGGCAGGAGGAUAAACAACAUGGAAUGUAGCUGCUUGCAGUGUUAUAGACUUGUUGCAUACUCUUUGCCGGGAUUGAGGUCAGCCUUUGUAGGAUGCUGGGGUAAUGAUCUUAUACCACCCG